rnacentral:rRNA from 1 species
AUUGAACGCUGGCGGCAUGCUUUACACAUGCAAGUCGAACGGUAACAGGUUAUGCUGACGAGUGGCGAACGGGUGAGUAAUGCAUCGGAACGUGCCCGGUCGUGGGGGAUAACGCAGCGAAAGCUGCGCUAAUACCGCAUGCGAUCUGAGGAUGAAAGCGGGGGACCGUAAGGCCUCGCGCGAUCGGAGCGGCCGAUGUCAGAUUAGGUAGUUGGUGGGGUAAAGGCUCACCAAGCCAACGAUCUGUAGCUGGUCUGAGAGGACGACCAGCCACACUGGGGCUGAGACACGGCCCAGACUCCUACGGGAGGCAGCAGUGGGGAAUUUUGGACAAUGGGCGAAAGCCUGAUCCAGCAAUGCCGCGUGCAGGAAGAAGGCCUUCGGGUUGUAAACUGCUUUUGUACGGAGCGAAAAGGUCUCCUCUAAUACAGGGGGCUCAUGACGGUACCGUAAGAAUAAGCACCGGCUAACUACGUGCCAGCCGCCGCGGUAA